rnacentral:lncRNA from 1 species
AUGCUGCAGCUUGUGUGGGAUCCUCUGGGAUGCCUCUUGCUCCCCAGGGAUGAAGGCUGGGUGGGUUUGUGCCCAGCAGUGACUGCUCCACGAUGUCUGUGGGUGACAUUGUUUGCUCUCUCCCACUCCUGCAGCAGUAACUGUGACCUGGACUAUGAUCUCUACAGGGACGACUUCCCAUACCGGGUAUACGAGUACCAGAAGAUCCCCCCACUCAUUAACCGCAUCCCAGUCAAGACCAGGCGGACUCACUCGAGAGCAGGAAGCAAGAGCAGCCUGAGUCCCCAGCCUGGGACAAGGAGCAGCACCAGCUCCACAACAGGACGGACAAAGUUGCAAGUUGAAGAGCUGCACUCCAUCAAGGGGGAGCUGAGCCAGAUCAAGGCGCAGGUGGACAGUCUGCUGGAGAGCCUGGACCGCAUGGACCAGCGGAGAGAGCGUCUCACAGGGUCCAAGGAAAGCGAGAAGAAGAGGGCAGAGCCGGGGACAGAGUCACCAUCCCCAGCUGGAGAGGGGUCACAGGAGUCACGGAGAAAGGAGGGGACAAGGGCUGAUGGGGACAGAGACCUGCACAACAUUGACAGUGCAGAGGAGAGCACAGACACAGAGGAGACGGUAAGAGGAGGGCCAGAUUCUAUGCCAGACUAUUUCUCUAAAAUCCACCCCUACUUGCUGAUGAGGGAUGCCUGGAGUAGAUGAAAUGCUCCAUUGGGGUUCCCCAAGCCAUUCCAGAUGUGUGCCAGGGCUAAAACCUUUGGCACAGCCAGAACAUCUCCGAGUACCCUGCAGCAACUCCUUGGGUGUGCAUCACUCCAGCACCAGGGCUACAGAAACAACCUUGGAGCAGAAAUACAUUUUAUCAAAGGUGCUGCUCUCACACUGCACUCCCCAGGUGGGUGUGGGAUGCCAGGUACUGGGCAGGGUGCUGAGUUUGAUCCUACUGCUGGAGUGCAUCGCAGGACGGCCAUGCUGUGUUUCUCCUCACAGGUGAAAACCCACAUUUCGGACUCCAAGGGGAGCCAGUAGCCAGCCUGGGAUGCUGUGGCCUUCCUGUGGGGCCAGCCCUUCCCAGCUUGUGUUCUUUAUUUCUUUUGAGGCUUCCAGCUAGUGCCACACACGACACGAGGUGCCUACCCUCGGCAUGGCCAUCCCCUGCCACUGGCAGCCUCAUGUCCUAUCCUGGAAGUUGCCCGCCAGCUCUGGUGACAGUUUUUGUGUUCCAGUGCACUUGUUUUCUUUUUCCUUCUGUUUUCAGACCAAUGGAUAAGCAGAGGUGGCCUGGGGAGGGAAGGGAGAAGUAAAAAAUAGAAAGGACCAUAUCCCAGAGUAGCAUCUCAAAUCCCAGCUGGUCUGCGGCCAGCAUCGCCUCACCCACAGGAUGCUGUGGAGAGAGAAUGUAGCCCAGUGUUCCCACCCCUAUGGCACAACUGGCAUCCCAACCUUCAGACCCUGGGAACUGGUGCAGCAGGCACAGGUACAGCCCAGGAUGGCUUUCAGAGCUGCUCAGUGUCCCACCUUAGGAAGAAGGAACCAUGCUAAGCCAGCUUUAGGAGGCUUUUGUGGGAUUUUAGGAUGGUGCCAAGCCUAACUCUGAUGUGACCUGCAGGACCAGCAGUGGGGCAAUACCAACCCAAUCAUUCCCACUUGCCCCAGCUCCCAAAUGUGUUUUCCUUACUGAUUUUCCACAGGCUGUUCUCAGCCAGGCAUUGCAUCUGCAGCCAGCAGGACUCUAGUAAGAGCUUUACUAGAACCCAAAAAGUCCUGGUCCCCCUUGUGCUCCCCAGUGUCACAUUUCAGUUACAUGUCCCUCAUUUCUGUUGUCCUUCUCUCACUGGUAGGAACUUGUUCUGUAUUUCUAAUUUGCUCUGGUAAAAGAGUGUAUUGUCUUGGAAAGAAAAAUUUAUAUUUCUUUUAUCUGGUUAUUUGACUCCAAUGCAGUUUUUAACCAUCUGAAGUGAACAGUUUUGUACCCCAUUUUAUGCACUGCCAGACACAGCCCUCAGCUCUGAGGGCUUUCUUGGAUGCUGCCUUUCCUACAGCUCAACCCACAGGCACGAGUGCAGCUCUGCUCUGUAUCCCAAUGGAAAAUACCCCAACUUCCCUACCAGCCCACCAUGAUGCAACUUGGCAGACAAGACCACCUGCUGCACUCCAUCCCCAGGAAUAACCAGAUUCCAAGGAAGCACCCAGCUCCCCCUGAACUCCUCAGGGACAGUGGGAGCAGAGAGGGUCACCCCAACUGUAGAAGCACAUCCUUCCACCUCUGCCCAUGGCAGAGGGCCAUGCAAGCAGAAGACUCACCAGAAAAAAUAUUAUUUAUUAUUACAAAAAAAAUUAACAAAACACAACUCUGCCACCCUGAAGCACUGCCUGGGCAAUAAGUCCAAUGGAUGCUAGUCCAUGCCAUGAUGUGGUUCCUGCCUGGUUCUGCCUAGAUGCUGCCUGCACAGAUGGAUACAGUGGGGAGCUUGGAGUGAGGGUUUCAGCCUGGUGCUGUGACCACCCCGGGGUGAGAUGUGGGGUCCUGGAGUGCCAGCAACUGCAUGGAGGGAGGUGUUGGGCAGGCUCUGGCUGCUGAGGCAGUAUGGAGGUCUUGGGGGGGCUUCAGCAGCGUGCAAGGCUGUUUGGGUCCCAUGGUGCCAGUCGAGAAUGGCCUCCCGCGACACGAUGGCUCCUUAGGUGCACUCUGGGGUGCUUGGGCAGUGCAGACUCCUGUGUCCUUCAGCACAGUUCUUGGGUCUCCAGCUACGUGGGCAGCACAAGGGGGUCUCCAGCAGUGCAAAGGUAGGCUCAUCCAGUCUCCAGCAGCAUGAGGCAUUGAUCAGGCUAGGUCUGGGCAUUCACCAGCAGUUACAAUUAAACUUAAGCUUCAACUUAAUAAACUUCUAAGAUUCUAAAAUAAACUUAUUUUA